rnacentral:pre_miRNA from 1 species
GCGGUCUCUAAUUCGCUUGGUGCAGGUCGGGAACCGCUUUGCCCUACUUUACCGUGUCUGGGCCUAUGAGCUAGGUGGCUCGAUGUGUAAUCGGCCACAGGGCAAAACAGGUCCCGCCUUGCAUCAACUGAAUCGGAGACCGC